CAGGCUUAACACAUGCAAGUCGAACGCUCAUAGCAAUAUGGGAGUGGCGCACGGGUGAGUAACGCGUGGGAAUAUGCCCUUUAGUAUGGGAUAACUACUGGAAACGGCAGCUAAUACCAUAUACGCCCUUCGGGGGAAAGAUUUAUCGCUAAAGGAUUAGCCCGCGUUAGAUUAGGUAGUUGGUGGGGUAAUGGCCUACCAAGCCUACGAUCUUUAGCUGGUCUGAGAGGAUGAUCAGCCACACUGGAACUGAGACACGGUCCAGACUCCUACGGGAGGCAGCAGUGGGGAAUAUUGGACAAUGGGCGCAAGCCUGAUCCAGCCAUGCCGCGUGAGUGAUGAAGGCCUUAGGGUUGUAAAGCACUUUUGUCAGGGAAGAUGAUGACGGUACCUGGAGAAUAAGCACCGGCUAACUUCGUGCCAGCAGCCGCGGUAAUACGAAGGGGGCUAGCGUUGCUCGGAAUCACUGGGCGUAAAGGGUG
rnacentral:rRNA from 1 species